rnacentral:rRNA from 1 species
AGUUGCGAAGGCGGCUCUCUGGACUGUAACUGACGCUGAGGCACGAAAGCGUGGGGAGCAAACAGGAUUAGAUACCCUGGUAGUCCACGCUGUAAACGAUGAGUACUAGGUGUCGGGGGUUACCCCCUUCGGUGCCGCAGCUAACGCAUUAAGUACUCCGCCUGGGAAGUACGCUCGCAAGAGUGAAACUCAAAGGAAUGGACGGGGACCCGCACAAGUAGCGGAGCAUGUGGUUUAAUUCGAAGCAACGCGAAGAACCUUACCUAAGCUUGACAUCCCAAUGACAUCUCCUUAAUCGGAGAGUUCCCUUCGGGGACAUUGGUGACAGGUGGUGCAUGGUUGUCGUCAGCUCGUGUCGUGAGAUGUUGGGUUAAGUCCCGC